AAACAUAAAUAUAUUUAAAUGUUCCAUGAUAGAGUUAUCUACAUUGCGAGUGGAUUUUGGAUUUACAUUUAGUCAUUUUUUAGUCAUUUGGAUAGUAAAUAUUGUUUAAGUUUGCUGAGAUAUAUGUCGCAAGAAUUUUGCAACACAUAUAUAUCAUGUGAAUAGUAUGUUUAACUAAAAGCAAGUUAACUACCCUUGAGAAUUUGUUUUGUAAUGAAGGGAGCGGAAGUGCAUGAUACGUGAGUUUUAGCACGCUUACAUGGCGAUGCCAGACAGAGAGGGUCGUUGAACAGUUUUGGAGGGGGUGUGUGUACAGCCAGUCUAUCAAAAUAUUACUAUUAUGGCAAUAAUUUGCCAGAAGACCCUGAACAGUUAAUCUUGUGCGUCGUCCUACAAUCGGACACCUAACUGGUUCCCACCAUGAAACAACAUCAACUGUCCACUGUAAAGCGCCUUACCAAACCUAUUUUGUUUGGAACAUUAAUCGUGGGACUUGCUACUGCUUUCUUCAACAGACACCUAUUCUUUGAGGACAUCGCAGCGAUCCGGGCCCAGGAGCGAGCCCGUAAUGAAGCCAAACUGAUGGAGAUCUUGGAGAGAAGACACAGGCAGAUGGAGGAGCUAGCGGAUAAGAAAGGAGGCAUGUGAAAGAAUGGCUCUUCACCUAGGCACAACAAACAGUAGACUCCCUCCAGUUGAGGUGGCACUACAUUAACUUUCUUGUGACGUGAAAUCGACUGUUCAGUCGGAAAAAUAUUGAUUGUGAAAAAGGUGAUGGAGGGAUGUGAUCCACCUGUUGUGAGGGUUUUGAAAAUACGGUUCAGAUGCAGUUUGUAAGCUCUUUACCCAAACUGAGAUGUUUUCAAAUUACGUGCAUGGACUGAUAAUGGCCGGGUUUCCCAGAUUUGUUAAGAAGCUCUUAACGCUAAGAUCUUCUUAAGAACGUUCUAAUAGCGUUCUAAGGCGCCCUUAGAACGUUCUUAAGACGUUCUUAGCGUUAAGAGCUUCUUAACGAAUCUGGGAAACCUGGCCAAUACUUGUUAUAAUUCAAGUUCAACAAGUUUAAUUGUCUUAGAAAUUAGUGCAAAAAUCUGUAUAUUUGAUGCAACCUCCUAUUAUUAAGGUUUGGUUCACCUGUAAUAAAACUAAAUAAUUCCUGUAAGUUUGGUCUAUUUGAUAUUACCUUGAAAUAAAUGUAUAGAAUCAGAACAGGUAAAUUCAGAGCUGCGACUGAAUGUACAGCCACCUACCACCAGAGGGAGAUAUCUACCUUUGUUUAUAAAAAUGUUCAUAAUUUACCAAAUAAUAAACAUGCAAAUAUCAAAUUUAUCAACAGCUACCAAAAUAUAUUUGAGACUAGAUUGGCAUAGUUUUUUAUUUUCACGUUAAGACAGACAACGGGUUGUAAAUCAUCAUAUAAUACAUGUAUGAUGACAAAUGUAUGAUUAUAUCCUUUUUAUUUAAACACAUGCCAUUAAAGAAAUCGGAAAUAAAUUAAAACAUUUUACAUGAAGAGGACAAACAAGCAAUAUUGCACUUGAAUGAAACGUAAAUAUCCGCACAAGGUCAAGUGCUACACUUGCUUAUAAUGGUGUUGUGACAUUUUCAAGAAACAUCAUAAAAUACUAACAUUUAAAUGCCAGAGGAGAUUCAAAAUGGUGGUAGUUUCUGUUUAAACUCCAAAGGAAAACAAAUGGUCAGUACUACUUCAGUGGACAUCUGUAAAUAACGAUCAAUAUGACCAAUAUUGUGCACACUCAUAUGGUUCAAUAACAUAAGUAACAUCUCUUCCCUUUUUAAUGUAACCAACUGAUACUUUGUAACAAGUUAUAGACAAACAAACUAUUGUAUGCAGAAAUAAUAGAACAACACACUGUAACCCUCAUGGCUGUAAGAGUAAAGACAGAUGGUUUAAAAGGUUGACAUUGAAGGUUUAAACUUCCCUCAAUUAUUUAUGGCAAACAUGUGAGGAGCCAGUCCACAUGGCAAAAAAUCAUUUCAGGCUAUUUAACCCAUCGAGCACAUGUGCCAU